CACUGGGACUGAGACACGGCCCAGACUCCUACGGGAGGCAGCAGUAGGGAAUCUUCCGCAAUGGACGAAAGUCUGACGGAGCAACGCCGCGUGAGUGAUGAAGGUUUUCGGAUCGUAAAACUCUGUUGUUAGGGAAGAACAAGUACCGUUCGAAUAGGGCGGUACCUUGACGGUACCUAACCAGAAAGCCACGGCUAACUACGUGCCAGCAGCCGCGGUAAUACGUAGGUGGCAAGCGUUGUCCGGAAUUAUUGGGCGUAAAGCGCGCGCAGGCGGUUUCUUAAGUCUGAUGUGAAAGCCCCCGGCUCAACCGGGGAGGGUCAUUGGAAACUGGGGAACUUGAGUGCAGAAGAGGAGAGUGGAAUUCCACGUGUAGCGGUGAAAUGCGUAGAGAUGUGGAGGAACACCAGUGGCGAAGG
rnacentral:rRNA from 1 species